UGGGUGGCGAGACCGGUAAACCA
rnacentral:siRNA from 1 species